rnacentral:rRNA from 1 species
UACCAGCACCCCGAGUGGUCGGGACGUUUAUUGGGCCUAAAGCAUCCGUAGCCGGUUCUACAAGUCUUCCGUUAAAUCCAACUGCUUAACAGGUGGGCUGCGGAAGAUACUAUAGAGCUAGGAGGCGGGAGAGGCAAGCGGUACUCAGUGGGUAGGGGUAAAAUCCUCUGAUCCAUUGAAGACCACCAGUGGCGAAGGCGGCUUGCCAGAACGCGCUCGACGGUGAGGGAUGAAAGCUGGGGGAGCAAACCGG